rnacentral:lncRNA from 1 species
AUCCACUAGUGUAAAUAUUUUAAAUUGAAGAUCGAAUUCAAUCAUUGUAUUCAUAUAAGGUCAAGGAGUAUAGCUGAAAAAAAUCAUCAAAAUCAGAGUUAAAAUGACCGUUAAAUCGUGAUUUUUCUUUUUAUAACCGUCGAAAAGUUUUGUCCCGUUAAUUGAUCUCUGAAUUUUUGUUUUUUGUAAUUUUUGACGUAUGCGAUCUCGAAGUAUAUACAAACAUGUUUGACAGUUGGAUCUUUGAAACUAGUUUCGUAGAAUGAGUAUCCCAUCAAAACAAUAGAUUUACUAAUACUUAAUAGUUUAUUCAAACUUUUAUUAAGUAUAACAUAAGAUUUUGUGGUAUCCACUAGUGUAAAUAUUUUAAAUUGAAGAUUGAAUUCAAUCAUUGUAUUCAUAUAGGGUCAAGGAGUGUAGUUGUAAACAAUCAUCAAAAUCGGAGUUAAAAUGACCGUUAAAUCGUGAUUUUUCGUUUAUAACCGUUGAAAUGUUUUGUCCCGUUACUUGAUCUCUGAAUGUUUUUUUUUUGCAAUUUUUGGCGUAUGCGAUCUCGAAGUAUAUAUAAACAUGUUUGACGGUUGGAUCAUUGAAACUAG